UGGGUAUAGCUCAGUGGUAGAGCACUUGCCUAACAUUUGCAAAGCUCUGGGUUCAACUCCCCAGUACCACAA
rnacentral:tRNA from 1 species